rnacentral:rRNA from 1 species
AGGAAAAGAAACCAACAGGGAUUGCCCUAGUAACGGCGAGUGAAGCGGCAACAGCUCAAAUUUGAAAUCUGGCCCUUUCAGGGUCCGAGUUGUAAUUUGUAGAGGGUGCUUUGGAGUUGACUGUGGUCUAAGUUCCUUGGAACAGGACGUCGCAGAGGGUGAGAAUCCCGUAUGUGGCCGCCAGUCUUCGCCGUGUAAAGCCCCUUCGACGAGUCGAGUUGUUUGGGAAUGCAGCUCUAAAUGGGAGGUAAAUUUCUUCUAAAGCUAAAUAUUGGCCAGAGACCGAUAGCGCACAAGUAGAGUGAUCGAAAGAUGAAAAGCACUUUGGAAAGAGAGUCAAAAAGCACGUGAAAUUGUUGAAAGGGAAGCGCUUGCAGCCAGACUUGCCUGUAGUUGCUCAUCCGGGCUUUCGCCCGGUGCACUCUUCUAUAGGCAGGCCAGCAUCAGUCCUGGCGGUCGGAUAAAUGCCCGCUGAAUGUACCUCUCCUCGGGGAGGACUUAUAGCAGUGGGCGGCAUACGACCAGCCGGGAUUGAGGUCCGCGCAUCUGCUAGGAUGCUGGCGUAAUGGCUGUAAGCGGCCCGUCUUGAAACACGGACCAAGGAGUCUAACAUCUAUGCGAGUGUUUGGGUGUCAAGCCCGAGCGCGUAAUGAAAGUGAACGGAGGUGGGAACCCCUCGGGGUGCACCAUCGACCGAUCCUGAUGUCUUCGGAUGGAUUUGAGUAAGAGCAUAGCUGUUGGGACCCGAAAGAUGGUGAACUAUGCCUGAAUAGGGUGAAGCCAGAGGAAACUCUGGUGGAGGCUCGCAGCGGUUCUGACGUGCAAAUCGAUCGUCAAAUUUGGGCAUAGGGGCGAAAGACUAAUCGAACUAUCUAGUA